GGGCCCGUAGCUCAGCCAGGUAGAGCGGCAGUGGUGAAAACCGCCGUAGCUCCAGACCUGUAGGCCGUGGGUUCAAGUCCCACCGGGCCCA
rnacentral:tRNA from 1 species